GAAAACAUCUUACGUAUUGUCACUUUAUAGAGCCACUUUUCAACACCAGAGAUUAGUGAUACAGUGUGUAUAUUUGGAUUAUUACCUGACUCGUAAGAACGCUAGGUGUAGUAGGUUAAUCUGACUUCAGAGCUCGUCUUUUCUGUGGUCGCCCCCUCUCGUUUCUAAUGUUACCCUGUAGUUAACACUGGAUUCUGAUCGCGUGCAGGCUUACCGUUGGGACGUUUACUUUCAAGGCAUCAACGUCCACUCGAACCUCCGACAGGGGCAGCGGGUCCGGGUCGCCUUUGGUCAUAAAGUGCUUAUUUUUUCUUCUUUGAUGUUUUGGAUCCCAACCAGCUUGCCUUUAUGUCUCCACCUACUGUUCCGGAGUGGAGACAGCUGAAGAGAGACAGGACAUGUGGGGAGUA